rnacentral:tRNA from 2 species
GGGCGGUUAGCUCAGUGGUAGAGCAUCUCGUUUACACCGAGAGGGUCGGCGGUUCGAGACCGUCACCGCCCACCA